UGAUCAAAGGAGGUACAUCAUUUCUUGAUUCUAGAUGCAAACACUUUGAAAUUACAACCUGAUUUUCUUUUCUUUGCCUCCAGGUCAGGCAACUGUGACAUCUACAGAUAAAUCAGGCCUCUGUAACUUUGUUCUGUGUACUGAAGAUUGUAAAGUUCUGAAGUACACAGGAAGAUGUGAAAGUACAACCAGACCAACAGAAACUACAACAUCAGCUACAACAGUGACAGUAACACCAACGUCAAGAGCAACUACCACAUGUACCUGUGAGAAUGACGGGCGAAAAAUGCUCCCUGGUCAGGCAACUGUGACUUCUGCAGGUAAAUCAGGCCUCUGUAACUUUACUCUGUGUACUGAGGAUUGUGAAAUUCUGAAGUACACAGGAAGAUGUGAAACUACAACCAGACCAACAGAAACCACAACAUCAGCUACAACAGUGACAGUAACACCAACGUCAAAAGGAACUACAAUCUGUUCAUGUGAUGUUAACGGACAUAUAAUGUCACCAGGUCAGGCAACUGUGACGUCCACAGAUAAAUCAGGCCUCUGUAACUUUGUUCUGUGUACUGAAGAUUGUAAAGUUCUGAAGUACACAGGAAGAUGUGAAAGUACAACCAGACCAACAGAAACUACAACAUCAGCUACAACAGUGACAGUAACACCAACGUCAAGAGCAACUACCACAUGUACCUGUGAGAAUGACGGGCGAAAAAUGCUCCCUGGUCAGGCAACUGUGACUUCUACAGGUAAAUCAGGCCUCUGUAACUUUACUCUGUGUACUGAGGAUUGUGAAAUUCUGAAGUACACAGGAACAUGUGGAACUACAACCAGACCAGCAGAAACCACAACAUCAGCUACAACAGUGACAGUAACACCAACGUCAAAAGGAACUACAAUCUGUUCAUGUGAUGUUAACGGACAUAUAAUGUCACCAGGUAAGUGUGUCAGUAAUCAAAGUGCUCUUCUGUUCACAUAUCCAAUCAAGAGCUUUACAGCUGUCUCUUGCGUAGACAAAAAUUCUGGUGAAACUCAGCGGGUGAGGCAGCACCGGUGGAACCUACAUCUGUCUCUUGCUAAGUGCAGAUGAUAGCAAGAAAUGCAUCCAAUUAUGAAGUUGAUGCACAGUUCUAAACAUGUCAACAUAAAUUAUAGAAUCUUUUUGCUUUUUUAGUUUUUUCCAUUUGAGUUAAUGUAGAUGAAGCUCUUAAUAGUUUAAAAUCACGCCCUGUGUUUGAUCAAAGGAGGUUCAUUUUUUCUUGAUUCUUGAUGCAAAUACUUUGAAAUUACAACCUGAUUUUCUUUUCUUUGCCUCCAGGUCAGGCAACUGUGACAUCCACAGAUAAAUCAGGCCUCUGUAACUUUGUUCUGUGUACUGAAGAUUGUAAAGUUCUGAAGUACACAGGAAGAUGUGAAAGUACAACCAGACCAACAGAAACUACAACAUCAGCUACAACAGUGACAGUAACACCAACGUCAAGAGCAACUACCACAUGUACCUGUGAGAAUGACGGGCGAAAAAUGCUCCCUGGUCAGGCAACUGUGACUUCUGCAGGUAAAUCAGGCCUCUGUAACUUUACUCUGUGUACUGAGGAUUGUGAAAUUCUGAAGUACACAGGAAGAUGUGAAACUACAACCAGACCAACAGAAACCACAACAUCAGCUACAACAGUGACAGUAACACCAACGUCAAAAGGAACUACAAUCUGUUCAUGUGAUGUUGAUGGACAUAUAAUGUCACCAGGUAAGUGUGUCAGUAAUCAAAGUGCUCUUCUGUUCACAUAUCCAAUAAAGAGCUUUACAGCUGUCUCUUGCGUAGACAAAAAUUCUGGUGAAACUCAUCGGGUGAGGCAACAUCUAUGGAACCUACAUCUGUCUCUUGCUAAGUGCAGAUGAUAGCAAGAAAUGCAUCCAAUUAUGAAGUUGAUGCACAGUUCUAAACAUGUCAACAUAAAUUAUAGAAUCUUUUUGCUUUCUUAGUUUUUUCCAUUUGAGUUAAUGUGGAUGAAGCUCUUAAUAGUUUAAAAUCACCGGAGGCUUCUUCCUUGCAACCACUGAGCAACAGGACAUAUUUGACUCAAAUGCUCCUUAAAUGCAACAUCAUGUUACGAUAAAUUUCAACACCCCUACAUUGUGCUUGACAGCAGCAUUGAUCAGAGAGGUUUGAUCACAAUGUGGACCUACACUUUUAUACUGUAAAUGUUGUGGUCCGCCCAUGGUUUCUGUUAUGGGUCAGAUCAUGCCUCCCGUGAAAAAAGUUAUUUCUGCCCAAAAAUGAACUACGCAACUGAGCAACCUUACUGCAAAUGCCGCUCACUCUUCUGCUGAUUUCUGUAUUAUCUUCUGUCCGCAAUUCCCUUAUACAAGGCCUGCCAGCCACAAGCUACGAUAUGAAAUCACGCAGCGUGUUUGAUCAAAGGAGGUACAUCAUUUCUUGAUUCUAGAUGCAAACACUUUGAAAUUACAACCUGAUUUUCUUUUCUUUGCCUCCAGGUCAGGCAACUGUGACGUCUACAGAUAAAUCAGGCCUCUGUAACUUUGUUCUGUGUACUGAAGAUUGUAAAGUUCUGAAGUACACAGGAAGAUGUGAAAGUACAACCAGACCAACAGAAACUACAACAUCAGCUACAACAGUGACAGUAACACCAACGUCAAGAGCAACUACCACAUGUACCUGUGAGAAUGACGGGCGAAAAAUGCUCCCUGGUAAGUGUGUCAAUUAUCACAGAGCUCUUCCAUUCACAUUGAAAAGAUAAAGAAAUCCAUAAUCCCAAAGCUGAAAAUGGCAGCAGCAUUGAUUGACAAUGGAUGGCAAAUAAUCACACACUUGCUUUUCAUUGGGACAACGUAUGUCCACCCAUUUGCAAGGUUAAUUGUACACGCCUGAUCACGCACCUUCAGGAGACAUUGCCAUCUCCUCGCAAUAAUGAAUCAUGCAACUGAGUAUCCGUUCUGCAGUUGCCAAGUAAUCGUCUGCUGAUUCCUGUAUUGUGCUUUUACAUUCACUCUACAAUUCCCUUUUACACAGCCUGUCAGCAGCAACCAGCUUUGCCAAAAUGCUAUGUUUCACAACCAGACCCUGGUGCUUGCACAGAUGUGGUUCAGAACGUCCCGAUCCUUGAUGCAUUCUGCAAAAUAAUAUUCUCAUAUUUCAAACUUAUUUCCCAAGUGAAAGACAUGAUCCAACUUCAACAUCAUACAUAAAGAUAGUCAUCAGUUUCAUCACCUUCAGGUGGACAAACC